UGAUAGCUGUGAAGCGUGAGGUUGCUGCUUGAAUAAAGCAGGUUUUCCGUGGAGCGAAUGUCAAUGCUGGAGAUAAUCUCC
rnacentral:ncRNA from 1 species